GAUCUGCCCUGCACUUCGGGAUAAGCCUGGGAAACUGGGUCUAAUACCGGAUAUGACCUCCGAUCGCAUGGUUGGUGGUGGAAAGAUUUAUCGGUGCAGGAUGGGCCCGCGGCCUAUCAGCUUGUUGGUGGGGUAAUGGCCUACCAAGGCGACGACGGGUAGCCGGCCUGAGAGGGCGACCGGCCACACUGGGACUGAGACACGGCCCAGACUCCUACGGGAGGCAGCAGUGGGGAAUAUUGCACAAUGGGCGAAAGCCUGAUGCAGCGACGCCGCGUGAGGGAUGACGGCCUUCGGGUUGUAAACCUCUUUCAGCAGGGACGAAGCGCAAGUGACGGUACCUGCAGAAGAAGCACCGGCCAACUACGUG
rnacentral:rRNA from 1 species